CCUACGGGAGGCAGCAGUGGGGAAUCUUCCGCAAUGGGCGCAAGCCUGACGGAGCAACGCCGCGUGAGUGAAGAAGGGUUUCGACUCGUAAAGCUCUGUUGUCGGGGACGAAUGUGGAGAUGGUGAAUAACCAUUUUCAAUGACGGUACCUGAGAGGAAGCCACGGCUAACUAACGUGC
rnacentral:rRNA from 1 species